rnacentral:lncRNA from 1 species
AAUGUGAUUUCAUAGGAAAGGAAACUCAUCCACCUUGAGCUUAUUUUUUUUCAUAUUUGAAGCAACUCUCGCUCACUGUUCCUACAAUUCUCGUUCCUGUGUUCCAAAUUGUUUUUUUUACCUCGAACCUAUGUUUUCAAUCCCUCUAUGAUUUCAUAUGCAUGUCAUGCCAACUCGUGUACUUUUCUUAUUACUGUCUUUUACCUAUCUUGAGUUCCAAACGGGCCUACAAAGGGAAAUAUUAAGUCUUAAAAAUCAAUGGAUACACUUUCCAAUUAAGUCAAAAGUAUAUAUAUGUUGCUACAAUAUAUCGUUGUUGUGUGCGUU